AAACAUGCCUGAAUCACUGUGAAA
rnacentral:siRNA from 1 species